GAUUGGAAGUGGACUAAAAAAUUGACUGUGACUUCUGUACAGAUGGUUAAUUGAAUUGGCAUUUCCAUUUGUAUGUUGAUAUACUAAAGUGGAGACCAGGCAUGUCAACUCAUUGAUCCUAGUUAUUCGAAUCAUUUAUAGCAUCACUUGUUUAUGGUGGGCUUGGUUUUAAUUAAAAUUCUGCUGUACAAUUGCCUCCAAU
rnacentral:misc_RNA from 1 species